rnacentral:lncRNA from 1 species
AUGGGAUGGAUGCAGCUCUCGAGAAACCUGCAGCCUGCAAAUCCACACUCGCCUGUGAACCAGAGAGCUGCAGGGAGCUUGCCAGGAAGGAAAGUAAUUUUAGAGUGUGAUUUGGAAAAUGAUUCAGUUAAAAAAUUGCUAUUUUUGAAGGGCUACUUUCCACUGGGAUCCAGUCCACAGCAUAUUCACAGAAGCACUUGUCUUACUGCAGCAGAGCGUGGUGGAGGUGGGAGGAAGAAGGUCUGCCUGGGAGCUGGCAACCCCACACCUCAAAUCACCACUGGGAAAACAGCCCAUGGAAAUGCAUCCUCCUCCCACUUCAAGUCUUACCUGUAUUUGGCAGUGGGAUUUAAGCCUCUUCAGUCAAUACCUUCUUGAUGAGAUAACUAGUAAUUACAAGAUUAAGUUCUGCUGUGGAGAUGAAUUUGCUAAACCUUUUGAAUUGCUGCUUCUAGGACGAGCGGUCACGGAAAACAGAUUUAAUGUUUACUGCUAUGCUUCCUGUCUGCCAACAUGUAAUUGCAUCCAGAUUUCCUGGGUUCCUAUCUAGUACUCAUCCACAAACCCGCUUUCCUCAAUGGAGAAGCAAAGCUAUGCUUUGCUGAAAAAGCAGAGGUGAAGAGCUCUGUGCUGCCUUGGUCCUUCUUCCAGCUGUUCCAUCUCUUCUGUAAGUCUUGAAUCCUCUGCAAUAAAGCACCUUUCACAGUAAUUUCCCAGAAGAGGUGUAAUAGCUAUAACCUAUCUCUCUGAUAUUAAGUUGCCUGGUGCUAAUAGAUUAUGGCCUUCAGCACUGUUGAUAUUAUUAAGAACAAUAUUGUUACUCUGGAAACGCAGUCAAUUGUCAACUUUUACAUUAAUUGUUAAAGGGUUUUUAUCAUGGCAGCCCAACAGGAAACAAAUAUCUUUCAUCCAUUAAAACAUCUCAGACAUAAAAGUUGCCAAGUAAUGAUUGACAGUCCUUGUUUUCCCUUGACCUCAAAGGAAACCAAGGAAUGAGAAAAGAUGUUGGUAGAAGAAAAGGGGGUACACGGUGCCAUAGGUCCUUCAUAACAAAUGUUGCCUGCUUGCAUUGGCAUAGUGCACCAGCAGUUCAUCUUUUCUCAAAGGGCACCCAAAUGCUUUCCUAUGAGUGGUUUCCGCCCUGAUGGAGCUUUCUUUGGUAAGAAAGAGCAGGAGAGAAAAAACUGCCACAAAGUGCACCUUGGAAGGUUGGCACUGGCCACAAGGAGGAGGAAAUGUCCCUCAAACAGUAGUGCUGUGGUGCCAUAGGUCACCCAAAGGGUAUCUAUGAUCAGACCAUAGCUUUGUGUUUCAAGGAACAAUUAGCGAGGGACCCAAAACUGAACACAGCACUUGAGGUGUGGCCUCACCAGGUAAUUAGUACUAGCUGUGUAUCAGGUAAUACUGUCUCCUUCUUGUCCUUGGGACACCUUGUCUGAUUAAGACACUUUGGACUGAUUAAAAAGCGGUCUUCAUGGAAAUCUUUUUAACUGGACAUGAAAGUACAAGCAUAUUCUACUUUUUGUAGCUACUGCUAUAUCUUUAGAAGAGAAAACUGUCAGUUCUCUGGGAAGACUUAAAUAUCCAUUUUUAAACAUCUCCACUACUCUUCACUCCUAGCUGCAGUAUUCUGCAGGCAUUCAGUUGUGUUAAUAUAGGAGCAGUUCUAAAAGUAAUCAUAGACAAGAAUUAUUUUGUGGAUUCAAAACCAGAAGCAGGCUACUUGUUGUUUUACUACAAUUUGAUUUCCUAAAAACUAAAACAUGAUUUUUCUCGUAUUAAACUACUGCAUAAAUUGGGCAACAUCUUUCUUCAAUAACUAACUCUUACUAUAAUGAAACAGACAUUGUCGAAAAACUGUCAGCACAUAAAGUUGCACCCAUUUCCUUUAAAAGAACAGUUCGAGGAAGAUAAA